UUUAAAAUCUAAAAAUGAUUAAAAUAUUAAAAAUCCUAUAUUA
rnacentral:tRNA from 1 species